GGCUUAGUUUGAUCAUGGCUCAGGAUAAACGCUGGCGGCGCACAUAAGACAUGCAAGUCGAACGGACUUAACCAUUAGUUUACUAUUGGAGCGGUUAGUGGCGGACUGGUGAGUAACACGUAAGCAACCUGCCUGUUAGAGGGGAACAACAGUUAGAAAUGACUGCUAAUACCGCAUAUGCCUUAGUUAUCGCAUGAUAAUAGAGGGAAAGGAGCAAUCCGCUAACAGGUGGGCUUGCGUCUGAUUAGAUAGUUGGUGUGGUAACGGCAUACCAAGUCGACGAUCAGUAGCCGGACUGAGAGGUUGAACGGCCACAUUGGGACUGAGAUACGGCCCAGACUCCUACGGGAGGCAGCAGUCGGGAAUAUUGCGCAAUGGAGGAAACUCUGACGCAGUGACGCCGCGUGCAGGAAGAAGGUUUUCGGAUUGUAAACUGCUUUAGACAGGGAGGAAGAAGUGACAGUACCUGUAGAAUAAGCUCCGAAGC
rnacentral:rRNA from 1 species